UCAGGCCUCACGUGGCAAGUCAAGGUGAGGAAUGAUUUGUAAGGGAGUAUAGAAAUGGGCCAGACUCCCUGGCAAAUGGAGGUUUUUAAUUUUUGGCACUUCCAGCUGAGCUGGAGUACAAACCGGUAGAAUAAGAAAAAUAAAAUAAUGAUAACAUAAUUUAAAAAUUAACAGCAGCCAUUCUACUACUACUACCACCACCUCUCUGUUCUGUUUUUAUGGACUGUAUGUGGCUAGUGUUGAGCAAUUCUGCCUGCAGGAACCAAUUCCAAACAGCUUCAUGAGGUGAUCAUCACUUCACCAUCCAACCCCAAAAGUUUGAAUUCUCAGGAAUGGCAGGUUUUAAACCCAGUUGUGAUCACCAGAAAAGCUGGACUAUGAUGAUGCCCUGCAAGUUCAGGGCAAGAGAGCAAAAAUCCACCUCGGUCUAAUAAAAGUACGUGGCAAAAAUGA